GAGACACGGCCCAGACUCCUACGGGAGGCAGCAGUGGGGGAUAUUGCACAAUGGGGGAAACCCUGAUGCAGCGACGCCGCGUGGAGGAAGAAGGUCUUCGGAUUGUAAACUCCUGUUGUUGAGGAAGAUAAUGACGGUACUCAACAAGGAAGUGACGGCUAACUACGUGCCAGCAGCCGCGGUAAAACGUAGGUCACAAGCGUUGUCCGGAAUUACUGGGUGUAAAGGGAGCGCAGGCGGGAGAACAAGUUGGAAGUGAAAUCCAUGGGCUCAACCCAUGAACUGCUUUCAAAACUGUUUUUCUUGAGUAGUGCAGAGGUAGGCGGAAUUCCCGGUGUAGCGGUGGAAUGCGUAGAUAUCGGGAGGAACACCAGUGGCGAAGGCGGCCUACUGGGCACCAACUGACGCUGAGGCUCGAAAGUGUGGGUAGCAAACAGGAUUAGAUACCCUGGUAGUCCACACCGUAAACGAUGAUUACUAGGUGUUGGAGGAUUGACCCCUUCAGUGCCGCAGUUAACACAAUAAGUAAUCCACCUGGGGAGUACGACCGCAAGGUUGAAACUCAAAGGAAUUGACGGGGGCCCGCACAAGCAGUGGAGUAUGUGGUUUAAUUCGACGCAACGCGAAGAACCUUACCAAGUCUUGACAUCCCUUGACGAUGCUGGAAACAGUAUUUCUCUUCGGAGCAAGGAGACAGGUGGUGCAUGGUUGUCGUCAGCUCGUGUCGUGAGAUGUUGGGUUAAGUCCCGCAACGAGCGCAACCCUUAUGGUCAGUUACUACGCAAGAGGACUCUGGCCAGACUGCCGUUGACAAAACGGAGGAAGGUGGGGAUGACGUCAAAUCAUCAUGCCCUUUAUGACUUGGGCUACACACGUACUACAAUGGCGUUAAACAAAGAGAAGCAAGACCGCGAGGUGGAGCAAAACUCAGAAACAACGUCCCAGUUCGGACUGCAGGCUGCAACUCGCCUGCACGAAGUCGGAAUUGCUAGUAAUCGUGGAUCAGCAUGCCACGGUGAAUACGUUCCCGGGCCUUGUACACACCGCCCGUCACACCAUGAGAGCCGGGGGGACCCGAAGUCGGUAGUCUAACCGCAAGGAGGACGCCGCCGAAGGUAAAACUGGUGAUUGGGGUGAAGUCGUAACAAGGUAGCCGUAGGAGAACCUGCGGCUG
rnacentral:rRNA from 1 species